rnacentral:rRNA from 1 species
GUCUGUCCAGUGCUCCAUCUAUGCUGAUUUUCAGAAACUGUUGCCCAGAGAGAUCUCCAUGAAGUAUUGCGCCUGAUGCAGAUGUCAAAGUAUUCAAUCUACUCUGAUGACCACCAGCGGUGUAGUCUUGGUACAUAUACUGCAUCCUGAGAGAUGAAGCAGCAAGGACUAGCAGCAUGGAUGUGAAAUAUGGUCAUGCUCUUAACCUGAUCUCCAGAAAGAUUUCUAUAUCUCCUGAAGCAAGAAGAGUAUUUUGAUGGAGCACAAUUGAUGUAGAUUCAAACUACUCUCCUGUGAGGAUUUGUUCUGCUAUACAUUUUCCUUUCAUUUCCCAUCCAGGUUGUGUUCAAAUGAUAGGUGGCAUUGCAAAUUAUGACCAGUUUAAAUCUUGUUUUAGUGAGGUAUGAUUUGCUCAUUAACUUUUAUUGCUCAUUUCAUUAACCCGUACAUUGCUGGCGGUUACUAUCUAAUACCCAAUAUAGAUAUGUAACGGACUAGGUUUUGUUUGAACGUGAUACAGUUGGGUUAAGCUUCUCAAAUGCCUAGCAUCAAUUAAGCUUGACCACCAAACUGAAACUGAAGAAUAUAAAAAGUUCAGUUAAGCAUCCGAAGCUUACGGACGGAAAUUUUUAAUGCAGUACACUAUAUGGUUAACCAAGG